rnacentral:rRNA from 1 species
GGCAAAAUAGAUCCGUAACUUCGGAAUAAGGAUUGGCUCUGAGGGUUGGGCCUAGGGGUCUCGAGAACGAAGGGAGUACGGAUAGGAGGGGACUGCGGCUUCGGUCAUGGACCCCACUCGUCUGUUUCCCCAAGAUCUCGAGAAUGUCUUCGGACUUUCUCUAGUGCGUUGAACAACCGACUCAGAACUGGAGCGGACAAGGGGAA